rnacentral:tRNA from 1 species
GAGACUUUAGUUUAAUGGUAAAAUACGAGACUUUUAAUCUUUGAUAUGUGGGUUCGAAUCCCAUAGGUCUUA